UUCCGGUUCGAAGGACCA
rnacentral:miRNA from 1 species